UGGACCCGUGAUGAGUUCCAUGGGGUAUCUGAAAGAGGAUAUUUUGAUUAAACCCAUAUGUAUCUCUGAGGUCCAU
rnacentral:snoRNA from 1 species